rnacentral:rRNA from 1 species
GACGAACGCUGGCGGCGUGCUUAACACAUGCAAGUCGAACGGAAAGGCCCUGCUUGCAGGGUACUCGAGUGGCGAACGGGUGAGUAACACGUGGGUGAUCUGCCCUGCACUUCGGGAUAAGCCGGGGAAACUGGGUCUAAUACCGGAUAGGAGCCAUUUUUAGUGUGAUGGUUGGAAAGUUUUUUCGGUGUAGGAUGAGCUCGCGGCCUAUCAGCUUGUUGGUGGGGUAAUGGCCUACCAAGGCGGCGACGGGUAGCCGGCCUGAGAGGGUGGACGGCCACAUUGGGACUGAGAUACGGCCCAGACUCCUACGGGAGGCAGCAGUGGGGAAUAUUGCACAAUGGGCGCAAGCCUGAUGCAGCGACGCCGCGUGGGGGAUGACGGCCUUCGGGUUGUAAACUCCUUUCGCUAGGGACGAAGCUUUUUGUGACGGUACCUAGAUAAGAAGCACCGGCUAACUACGUG